GAUGAACGCUGGCGGCGUGCCUAAUACAUGCAAGUCGAGCGAACAGACGAGGAGCUUGCUCCUCUGACGUUAGCGGCGGACGGGUGAGUAACACGUGGAUAACCUACCUAUAAGACUGGGAUAACUUCGGGAAACCGGAGCUAAUACCGGAUAAUAUAUUGAACCGCAUGGUUCAAUAGUGAAAGACGGUUUUGCUGUCACUUAUAGAUGGAUCUGCGCCGCAUUAGCUAGUUGGUAAGGUAACGGCUUACCAAGGCGACGAUGCGUAGCCGACCUGAGAGGGUGAUCGGCCACACUGGAGCUGGGACACGGUCCAGACUCCUACGGGAGGCAGCAGUAGGGAAUCUGCCGCAAUGGGCGAAAGCCUGACGGAGCAACGCCGCGUGAGUGAUGAAGGUCUUCGGAUCGUAAAACUCUGUUAUUAGGGAAGAACAAAUGUGUAAGUAACUAUGCACGUCUUGACGGUACCUAAUCAGAAAGCCACGGCUAACUACGUG
rnacentral:rRNA from 1 species